rnacentral:rRNA from 1 species
ACGCUCGACACCUACGGGAGGCCGCAGUGGGGAAUAUUGCACAAUGGGGGAAACCCUGAUGCAGCGACGCCGCGUGGAGGAAGAAGGUCUUCGGAUUGUAAACUCCUGUUGUUGGGGAAAAAGAGGAUGGUACCCAACAAGGAAGUGACGGCUAACUACGUGCCANNACGCCGGAGUAUCNGNGGCGGNGNGAGAGC